GGAGAGGAGGGGGCCUCUGCCCCGGCAGGGACCUCGGGAGGAUGCAGGAGCCGGCGUCCAGGAGACAUGCCCACCCUCGCCAGGGUGCUCAUCCCUCCGGGUGGUGCAGAGGCUAAGACAGGAGGGAACUCACCCUGUGCGUGCAGCUUGGGACUGGCAGAGCUGGGAAGUGAUGCCACUGCAUCGGUCCCAGGGCCUCUGCUCUUCUGGCCUCAGUGUGGCUGUGACAGCAGGAGAGACAAUACCUGGGCGGUGACUCCGGAGGUCUCCUGGCAGAAUGCACACGCUGCAUCCAAAGCUACAAACUUACCCUCUAAUUUGCCCUGCCAAUGACUGGACAUAUCCGGCAAUCACCUGGCCUUUGGGCCUACCUCAGGACCUUUGCACGGUCACUUCAGCCUGAGUUUCUGGUCCAAGGUCACCUCCUGCGUCCUUCUGACCAUGAGAGAUCUGCCUCUGUCUCCAGAGACAGGCCAGGCCACCUGCCUGCUUCCAUCCUGAGUCCUUGGCCUGUGCCUCCAUGUUUGCCCAUCCAGCCAGCCAAGCUGCCGUCUGCCUUGCUGUCCCCCGUCCCUGGGGCUGGAUGGGGCUGUGCAGACCGCAUACACCAUCCUGCAGGGAUCGGUCAACAAAGGCACAGAGAAGGGUGGGGCCGGAGGGGCAGCUCGCAGAGGCCCAGGAUGUCUCCCAGCAGGAGCAGGGAGAACCUGCGCCAUCCGCGGGGGAAGCCCGCCACCUGGUGGACGGCGCCGGCAUCUCUGCAGGGCCAGGAAGAAGGGGCCCCCAGAAACAGGCCUGGACUACAGAGCCCAAGCAGCGGAUUGCUUUGGACACAGAGUAAGCUGCAGUGCCCACGUCCUCAUCCAGGGCCCGCGUGGGGGAUCCCAGCCUAAGAGGAGAGGUAAAUGCUACAGGACCAGCUCAAGGGAACGAGACCAGCCGCCUCUGGGAGAGAGGAGACCAGAGAAGAGGGAGAGGCAGUGGUGCUCUCUGGAAACAAGCCAGUAAGACGACUCUACUCUUUGACUGCAAAGUGCAAGGCUAAAAUGUCUCGUCUCUGCCAAGUCUCUGAAGUGGGGAAGAGCGGCCGGAAAAGCAGUGGGUGCUGCGUGGACAGGAGACAGCAGCCAGACGAAGCUGGGAUCGGCUGUGAAGGACCCAGCCUGAGACCAUGGGCAGUGUCUAGCUCUGUUAUUUAAGCCACACUGGGAAACCGUCAGACACAGGGCGGGGGCUGUUUUAAACUCAGUGAAGGAAGAUAAGGCACGCAGUUUUGUAACCACCUCUGGAGUCAGGAGACGGGAGUUUGCAAUGGUCCCCACCACAAUCCCGGUCCUCCCCAGCCCCCUAGUGAGCACAGCUGUGCCCCACAGUCCCCUCUUCCUGGUGCUGCCUUGCAGUCUCAGGCAAAUUAAAUCUCAGUGUUGACUCCCACACAUCAUACUUGGGCCCUGCGUACCCUUCUAUUUGGUCCGUCUUUUCAGUCUCCCGCCACAGGCAGCUUCCACUCCAUUUUUUUUCUUCUUCCUUUGCUUACUGUGGGUCUGGUGAAGCCUCGGGUCCAAGCUGCGGACAGCCUGGGCGCUGCUGGUCAGUGGGGUUCCCACAAGGUGAGAGCUGGGUCCAGGGCUCCACUGUGCCCAGGCCCAGUGCUGCCAGGACCCUGGGGAAUGACUGUUCUCCCCACGUCCCCUGACUCAUCAGCCCGCCGGGAGCUGUGAAAUGGUGAUGCCCCAAUUUUGCCGUUCUGGUUUAUUACUUGGAAUGCUUUCAUUAAAAGAAAGCCUCUCCUAUCACCACCGGGUUGGGGGCCUGUCCAGGUUUUUGAUGCCCUACACAAAGAACUGAGCAGAGCACCCCCGAGCAUCAGCAGGACCAAUGAUUUAUCUGAAAGAGAAAGGACAAGGUCCACUGCACUGGGUGGGAGGGAGGCAGUGAGAUGUGCUCAUGGCCCCCAGGGAGUUUGGUGGAGAGGAUUUUAAUUUGGGCUGGAAUUGAGGGUCCGGUCUGAGGUAGGACUCCGGCCUCUGAGCAAUCUGCCUCGGCCCCUCGUCGGGCAGCAGUUUUUGAACUCUUUCUGCUCCUGGAGGAACUGUCGUGGCAUCCAAAGCCCACGAGGGUCAGAUCUGCAGUGGGUGGCGCAGAGAUUAGGAGUGGGGUCAGCCAAGGGUUGCAGAGGACGAACAGGCACAUGCUAAGGGCUCACUGUGUGCAGCUAAGUCGCCUGCUUAGCUCACUGCAUUUCGAUCAGGGCAUCCCGGUCUUGGGCUGAAGAUGAACUCAGGAGGAGGAGGAGCCAGUCCCAGACCGUGGCCCCAGGCGGGCUGACCCUCCCUGUCUACCCAGCUGCUUCCUCAGCUGCCUGAUGCCUCAGAUCUAGCCCAGAACGCAGCUCACAGCUGAGCCAGCCCUCCCGUCUUCCUCAGCCUUUUCCGUAGCCACUCCAGCCUCACGGUGAGAAGGAAAAAAUGCUCACUUUGUACCUCAUCUGUCUAUACACUCAUAGAUGGUCUCUGCUAGCUUCGUUCAGCCAUCAGUUUGCUUUUGCUUGUGUUUCACUACUGGCUUCAAGUUCACUGAAGUCACUGUCUUCACCAAGCUCAGAGAGUAACACCUGGGGCCACCUUCCCAGUUUUACUCAGUCCUGUCCUCCCUCCCCUCCCCUCCCCUGCUCUCCUCUCCCUCUUCUCCCUCUCUCCCUCCCUGUCUCUCUGAGGGGAGCUGAGGAGACCCUGGUCAGGGUGACAGACUCCACGAUGGUAGCCUCCGGUUUCCAAAGUGAGGCAGGACGGUGGGACCCACUGUGGUCCCAGAGUGGGGGGAGCCAACUCGAGAAUGGGGACUUCUCGUGCUUUAAACUUGUCCUCCAGAGCUGCCAAGUCUCAGGUGCCAAGUUAUCUUGUCCCUCUGAAGUCUGCAGUUCAGUCUCCACACCUGAGGGUAGGAAACCGGAAGGUACCGUCAGGGCAGGGACAGUGACGCUUUUACUGCAUUUUUACUAGGAUAAGAGCCUUGGGUUCGGCUUCGUCAUCUGGAGCAACGCCCCCUCAGCCAUUGGCUGGCCCAGCAGGCCUAGGGUCUCUCCUCCUGGGGGUGGGAAGCCCAAGAGGCGGUGGCACCUGUCUGGGCUUGGGUGCUCCUGGAGGAGCUGCCUCUCCCUCCACCCCAAGGACAGGCUCUGCUGCACUCGCUCAGUCAGAACUUCUGGUCAAAUCGCUCUCCUGUGUUUACUCUUGGGACCUGCAAUCCGGGACUGGUAGGGACCUGUGUGCUCCAGCGGCUGUCUCUUCCUGUGGAAAGGAGCAAGGAGGUUCUGAGUGGGCCUAGAGAAACACCGGAGUGUUUGGGGACUGUCUGGUGGCUCCUCCCACACUAAGAUCUCGCUGUUCUCCCUUGAUCUCAGACCACGUCCUUGAGUUUGUUACUGACCCUGUUCCUCCCUGGGCCUUAAACGCUGAGGCCCUGCUCGGGCAGUUCUGGAUUCUUCAGAAGUUCACAAAGUAGUUUCCUCUUUUUUAGGUCACAGGCUUUCUUUUCCUGUUUCCCUUUCUCCCUGUACCUGGAGCCCAGAGGUCCAGACCACCUUUGAGUGACUUUAGAAUAUUCAGCAGCCCCCCCCACCCCCGCAUGGAAAGACCUCUUUCUUCUCUGGGUACCAAGUACAGGAUGUUAAACAAAGAUUUGCAUGUGGCCAGCAGCUCAACCAAAGCUAUGAGGGAAAAUUCAGAGCAGGCAUCAGUUGGAGAACUCACUUUCUCUCUUUGGCCUUUUGAUGUUUGGCUUUCUGCUUCCAGGUUUGGUGGGGUUUUUUGUUUUGUUUUGUUUUGUUUUCUCCCCUAGGCUGGGAGGUCGGGAGCAGCUGUUCCAGUAGAAGCUGAGUGUGGAGGAGGCUGUCAGUGGCCGUCACACCCUCAAUCGGGCCUUGGGGACCUCAGGUGGGCUACACAUGGCAUCCCAGUCUCCAAGAGUGGCUUCUUAGAGAGCGAGCAAGCAGGCACAGCAUUCGUGUCCC
ensembl:lincRNA